GCUUUGAUGGCCGAGUCGUUAAGGUGUUGGACUUGAAAUCCAAUGGGGCUUCCCCGGGCAGGUUCAAAGCCUGCUCACAGCU
rfam:Oryzias latipes DNA, chromosome17, strain: Hd-rR.